rnacentral:rRNA from 1 species
CUACGGGAGGCAGCAGUGAGGAAUAUUCCACAAUGGGGGAAACCCUGAUGGAGCGAUGCCGCGUGCAGGAAGACGCUUUUCGGAGUGUAAACUGCUUUUAACAAGGAAGAUUAUGACGGUACUUGUAGAAUAAGGACCGGCUAACUACGUGCCAGCAGCCGCGGUAAUACGUAGGGUCCAAGCGUUAUUCGGAAUUACUGGGCGUAAAGCGUUCGUAGGCGGUUUGGUAAGUUGGAUGUGAAAUCCUGUGGCUCAACCACAUGGACUGUGUCCAAAACUACCUGACUAGAGCAUAGUAGAGGCAAGUGGAAUUUGCGGUGUAGGAGUGACAUCCGUAGAUAUCGCAAGGAACACCAAUGGCGAAGGCAGCUUGCUGGGCUAUUGCUGACGCUCAGGAACGAAAGCGUGGGGAGCGAACGGGAUUAGAUACCCCGGUAGUCCACGCCGUAAACGAUGAUCACUAGCAGUAUGGAGAUUCGACCCUCUGUGUUGCACAGCUAACGCGUUAAGUGAUCCGCCUGGGGAGUACGGGCGCAAGCUUAAAACUCAAAGGAAUUGACGG